CCUACGGGUGGCAGCAGUGGGGAAUAUUGGGCAAUGGAGGAAACUCUGACCCAGCAACGCCGCGUGAAUGAUGAAGGUCUUCGGAUUGGAAAGUUCUUUUCUAAGGGAAGAAGAAAGUGACGGUACCUUAGGAAUAAGCGUCGGCUAACUACGUGCCAGCAGCCGCGGUAAUACGUAGGAGGCAAGCGUUAUCCGGAAUGACUGGGCGUAAGGGGUGCGUAGGUGGUUUGACAAGUUGGUAGCGUAACUCCGAGGCUCAACCUCGGCACUACUACCAAAACUGUUGGACUCGAGUGUAGGUGCGGCAAAUGGAAUGCCUGGUGUAGCGGUGGAAUGCGUAGAUAUUA
rnacentral:rRNA from 1 species